GAUGAACGCUAGCGGCAGGCUUAACACAUGCAAGUCGAGGGGUAGAACACUUCGGUGUUUGAGACCGGCGCACGGGUGCGUAACGCGUAUGCAAUCUGCCUUGUACAAAGGGAUAGCCCAGAGAAAUUUGGAUUAAUACCUUAUAGUAUACUGAUGUGGCAUCACAUUAAUAUUAAAGAUUUAUCGGUACAAGAUGAGCAUGCGUCCCAUUAGCUAGUUGGUAUGGUAACGGCUUACCAUGGCAACGAUAGGUAGGGGGCCUGAGAGGGAGAUCCCCCGCACUGGUACUGAGACACGGGCCAGACUCCUACGGGAGGCAGCAGUGAGGAAUAUUGGACAAUGGGCGCAAGCCUGAUCCAGCCAUGCCGCGUGCAGGAAGACGCAUCUAUGGUGUGUAAACUGCUUUUGUACGGGAAGAAACACUCCCUCGUGAGGGAGCUUGACGGUACCGUAAGAAUAAGGAUCGGCUAACUCCGUGCCAGCAGCCGCCGUAACAC
rnacentral:rRNA from 1 species